rnacentral:rRNA from 1 species
ACGGAGGUAUCCCCCGUUGUUCGGAAUUACUGGGCGUAAAGCGCACGUAGGCGGCUACUCAAGUCAGAGGUGAAACAUCAGGGCUCAACCCCGGAACUGCCUUUGAAACUAGGUAGCUAGAAUCUUGGAGAGGUCAGCGGAAUUCCGAGUGUAGAGGUGAAAUUCGUAGAUAUUCGGAAGAACACCAGUGGCGAAGGCGACUGACUGGACAAGUAUUGACGCUGAGGUGCGAAAGCGUGGGGAGCAAACAG